UGCUUGCCCACAAAGGGUUUCCACCGCACUUCCCAUGCCGAGCAUAAGGCCAUAGGCAAAAACUUGGAUGCCAGUGUUCCCAAGAGAAACAGCAGCAAGCUGAAGAUUUCCUAGGUGACCACAGAAGAUCUGGGUAGACAUGGAAACCACAUUAUUCAGCAAGUAAACAAUCACUGCAGGAGCUGCAAGUUGGAAGAGCAAUUUAAGCUCAACCCAGGAGGCUGAUCUGAGCCUUUUAAAGGUUGGUGUGCGAGUAUCGUUUAAAAUAUCUUCUAGCUCAGAGGUGACUGCUUCAUGGCCAGACCUGAAGCUCUGAAGAAGAGGCUGAGAGUGAGAGAGCAUCAUCUUGCUACACUUUUCUUAUUCUUCUUUUCUCUCCUUCGAUGUCCAUACCCACAUGGCAAGCACAUUUAUAAACGAGGAUUUGUAUUUGCUUUUGA
rnacentral:misc_RNA from 1 species